rfam:Branchiostoma floridae genomic scaffold BRAFLscaffold_233, whole genome shotgun sequence.
GUUGGGUACGGCGAUAUGAUACCGAAGACGCCUGGCGGUAAAGUGAUCGGGACGGUGUGCACCAUAGCUGGUGUUCUUGCGCUAGCACUUCCUGUUCCGGUUAUAGUUGCCAAC